CAGUCGCCACGGUAAUACGAAGGGGGCAAGCGUUGUUCGGAAUUACUGGGCGUAAAGGGCGCGUAGGCGGCUUAUCAAGUCAGGCGUGAAAUUCCCGGGCUCAACCUGGGGGCUGCGCUUGAUACUGAUGAGCUUGAAUGCGGGAGAGGAUAGUGGAAUUCCCAGUGUAGAGGUGAAAUUCGUAGAUAUUGGGAAGAACACCAGUGGCGAAGGCGGCUAUCUGGCCCGUAAUUGACGCUGAGGCGCGAAAGCGUGGGGAGCAAACAGGAUUAGAUACCCCCGUAGUCCCUGUCUCUUAUAC
rnacentral:rRNA from 1 species